rnacentral:lncRNA from 1 species
CAGGAAUCCAUUGAGACUGGAGCAGUGAGUAGACUAAGACUAGAAUAAGCAGAAGCUGGCCUCCGUCUCUCCAUCCUUGCCUGUUGAUGGCUAAUGCCUUCAGAUGUGCCUGUGAGGGAGUUCCUAGAUUGGGGUAACUGAGGCUGAGGCCCUCACAUUUACUACAGUUGGCCUCUAGAAUCUUUCCUAGACAUUUUGAACUGAUGAGUCUCAGCCAGUCAGUGAAGCUUCAUGAAACUAGGGCUCUGUAACCGUCUAUUCAAUUUUGACAUGUUGGGAUUGCGUGUGAAGGGACAGCGGCAGAGCCAGUUGAGAAGUGAGUGGACCAGAUUGCAAAGCAGCCCGACAAGAUAUCCUUAUUAAGAUAAAAUUGUGAAUUUUCAGAAAGCACGGGUACACAUCAGACAGCUGAAGGGACAGACGUAGACCCGUGGUGUUCUCAAAAGCGCCACAAGAUGGCGCUGCUGCUGCUUCCCAGUCCCGACUACAGAGAAACUGCCAGCAGCGGCAGAAGCGGUCAGAAGUUCUCUACAAGUUUGAAGUGAUUACCCAGUGAACAUAUUUCUUAAGUAAUCUUCAAUUUUGGCUGCUGGAGAGCUCCUCACAAUGAGGCCUUUUGAAACGGGCUCCGUAGAAGCCUUGCUCUCUUGGUCAUGUUUGUCAGAGUCUGGGACAUCAGGCUUAAGGGAAGGAAAAUGGCUGGCUGGUCAAACUGCCAAAGGGACAAACUGCCGCAAAACACCAGCACCAGGAGUCCUUUUGCAUCAGACUCUUGAUUGUUCUUUCUGGCACAAGCCAGACUUAAGAGGUUUCCCUAUCCUACUUCCUGCAUCUUCUUCCAGGUAUCCAGCUGGUCCCCCAGCAGUUGCAACAUUGGAAUUAGACUUGUUUGUGUGAGGCUCUGCCCGAAAGCUGCAGAGAAGCUAGUAUUUAGACAUGAUGGCCCGGGCAUUCGUGACUGCAUGCAUGCAUGAAUCCAUCUGUCCAUUCCAGGGCUCCAGGCAGUAUGGUAGGAGCUGGAAAAUGCAGCAAACCUGGUAGCUACCUAUCUGAAUGUGUGUGUGUGUGUGUCUGUGGCUCCUGACCUUUUCCACCUGGAAUCUUGCUCAUGGUAGAGACUCCUUUCUUUUCAGCUCCCCCUUUGGUGUCUUUAUGCUUGAAUGGAGUCUCACAGUUUGAUUAUUUGAACUGUAGCUUUCAUGCUGCAUCUGGGAAAAAUCCCCAGCAACCCUGUCUGCCUCUGAUUACAUCCUCUGGCAGACAAAACAAGCUGACCUGAGUCUGGGUGACGAACCAACCUUGCUUAACUGGCCCUGAGAAUGGAGAUAACCCUGGAAGGCAGAAUACUAGUUUUAAAAUGAGGAGUGCUGGCUUCCCAAGAUGGAAGAUGUUCAGCGCUACAAUCCAACAAACCUGGGCAGAUAGGGAUGAGUGGCUCACCUUGGGCCAGUUCUCUCUUACAUCCCUGAGAGACCUGGCCUCUUUGUUUUUCUCCUCCUCAGUGUUUCUGAGGUCUCUGCUGCCCUAGGCACUCCUGGCAGUCCUUGCUUGUCCUGUGCUGGCUGACUUUGAGGCUGACUGGUGGGAGGCUCAGUGUGGGAAGGAAGACGAGGCUUAGCAGUGUCCACCUUGGACAGGCGCGGCUGUACCUCUCAGCCUCAGCUCCUUUUAUUGUAAGAUAGGUAUAAUUAUCCCCGCCUCACGUUUAUUGAGAGGAUCAGGAGAGAUCAUGCAUACAAAGUGUCAGGUAUGAACCUGAGCAUGCGAGCACAGCUUGAUGUCGAUGAUGCAUUCAACAACAACAACAACAACAACAACAACAACAACAACAAAUCCCACACAGAAUAGUGGCAGGAGGGAGGGGUUCAGGGCUGCAGAAUCCAGGGCAAGUACCAAAAUGGAGAGGCCAAACUGUAUGGGUGUGGCUGGGCAAAAUGGUGUGGGUGUGGGUAGGACUCUGGUCUCUCAGCAACCUAAGAUGCAAUAGAUUUUACUCUGAUGACAGCAGGGAGUCACUGAGGGAUUUAAUGGCUCCAUCAGUUUGGGUCCUCAUCCCUAGCUGCUUUGUGGAUGUAAUUCUGGUCACGCAGUGCCUAUAAUUCCAGUACAGUAGGGGGAGGGGCACAGGGCAGUGCAUGUGAUCAAGAUACAUUGUAUACCUGUAUAGACCUGUCAGAUAAUAAACAUGUUUAUUAAACUA